UGACCCCGUGCGGGAGAGUCCUCCGGAGAAGUCGUCCGGAGGCGCCGAAGGAGCAAAUCCUCCCCGGAAUCUCUCAGGCCCCCGUACCGCACGGACGAG
rnacentral:ncRNA from 2 species